GAGCUCUGAUCUGGAAGAAAAGAACAAAGAAAGAGAAGUAACGACGGAGAGAGAAGAUGGCCGAAAGGAGACGGAAGAGACGAAUGCACGCAAAGAACACUUCCACCCUUCAACCAGGUCAUAGGGAAUUACUAGUUGCAAUUCAUUUCAACGAACCUGGAUGGCAAUGGUCAGGAUGCUUUUUACCAGAUCAUCUGGGUGAUACUCAGUGACGGAAAGCUCGAUAUAGUUGUUCCCUAAUUUGUUCACUACAUGGAAGUCCUUGAAGGUUCUAAUAGAGAUAAAAUGCCAGGGUAUGAAGCUUCAAAUCUGAGGUAUGCUGAAUUGUUACUAUUAUCUGUUGUCAAAUGAGUGUUCUCUCUCUAUCAUUCAAUUGAAAAAACAAAUUUGAAUUUUAGAAAUGAGGGACCAUGAUCAAUCUUCAAUUAAUAGUAGUGCAUCUAUCAGAGUUCUCGCAUAGAUUGGUUGCCUAGUUAUUUGUUUUUCCUUGGUCUCUGGAAACUCCAAUCUUGUAUGUUAUCUUGUGUGAAACAAUUUUAAUUAAAUUGAAGAGCAAUAACAUGUUUCAACCUUGCCCCAAAAGAUCAAAUACAACAAAAAUCCUACUCUCUAUAACUGAUAUUACUAAUUCAUAAUUUACUCACAGCUAAGACUGUUCAUUUAUAUGCCAAACAAUAUCACUCAAGGAAUGCUGAUAACCCAGGUGCAGCAAUUGUACAAGGUUGGCCUACUUUGUUCUGUUGUAUCUUGUAACUGCCCUAUUUUAGUGUCAUUAACUUCGACCAACACAAAGAAAUAUAUUUCCAAAGAGCUUCACUAAUUGCAUCAUUAUCUCUUGUAAUUUAGUUGAAGUAACAUUUUGCAUUUUAUCAUUUUAAAGGAAACUUGCAGACAAAGUGGCAGCCGAGGGAUUUCUAGUAGUGGUUCCUGAUUUCUUCUAUGGUGAACCUUUCGAUCUUAAUAACCCUAAUAUGGACUGGGAAUCAUAGAGAAAGGCUCAUGGCAUGGGGUGGUAGUUGUAAAACUAGCAAGGACCGAUGAAAUUCAGACUGCAGUGGUUUUGCAUCCCGGUCGUAUCACAAAAGAUGAAAUCAAAGCGUUUGAGGAGAAAAUGCAGACAAGUGGAGACCUUAAUCUCAUUGGGCAGUUUGGUGUUGGGUUCUACUCUGUUUAUCUUGUUGCUGACUAUGUUAUAGUCAUCAGCAAACAUAAUGAAGAUAAACAGUAUGUUUGGCAAUCAAAGGCUGAUAGGGCAUUUGCAAAUUCUAAGGAUAUAUGGAAUGAACCACUUGGCCAUGGAUUUGUUAUGUUUGGUUUAUAAUUUUGGAUUUAUUGAUUCUAUAUAUAUAUAUAUUUAGUUUUAUGACUUUAAAAUAUCUAGUCAUACAUUGAAGAUUUUCAUUUUGGAUUUAUUGAUUCUAUGUAUAUGUCAUAUUUAUAUAUGGUAAUACCAACAUUUUAUACUAGUAACAAUCAAAGUCGUUAUUCCUUUUCUAUUGAUGUAGGGGAUGAAGAGUCAGUGUGAUGAGAAAAUGUCUGAUUUUAUCUUUUUUAAGACAAGAACAGUCUCUACAAAAAAUAGUAAGUUUAUUCAUAUGUUUCAAGUGGUUUUUGAAUUAAUUUGUGUUUUUAUUUUUCAAGUCAGAAAUUUUUUGGAGAGAUGCAAA